UGCUCGGUAGGGGAGUUCGGCCGUCCCCGUGGGCCCCAUAAGCCUAAGAUCGUCGGUUCAAAUCCGACCCGAGCCA
rnacentral:tRNA from 1 species